GACGAACGCUGGCGGCGUGCUUAACACAUGCAAGUCGAACGGAAAGGCCCUGCUUUUGUGGGGUGCUCGAGUGGCGAACGGGUGAGUAACACGUGAGUAACCUGCCCUUGACUUUGGGAUAACUUCAGGAAACUGGGGCUAAUACCGGAUAGGAGCUCCUGCUGCAUGGUGGGGGUUGGAAAGUUUCGGCGGUUGUGGAUGGACUCGCGGCUUAUCAGCUUGUUGGUGGGGUAGUGGCUUACCAAGGCUUUGACGGGUAGCCGGCCUGAGAGGGUGACCGGGCACAUUGGGCCUAAGAUACGGCCCAGACUCCUACGGGAGGCAGCAGUGGGGAGUAUUGCACAAUGGGCGGAAGCCUGAUGCAGCAACGCCGCGUGCGGGAUGACGGCCUUCGGGUGGUAAACCGCUUUCGCCUGUGACGAAGCGUGAGUGACGGUAAUGGGUAAAGAAGCACCGGCUAACUACGUG
rnacentral:rRNA from 1 species